rnacentral:sRNA from 1 species
GCCAGGUGUGGUGGCUCACACCUGUAAUCCCAGCUACUUAGGAGGCUGAGGUGGGAGAAUUACUUGAGUCCAGGAGUUGAGUCCAGCCUGGGCAACACAGUGAGAAUCCAUCUCUUUAAAAAAGUAAAAAAAAAAAAAAAAAAUGGCCAGGCACGGUGGCUCACACCUGUCAUCCCAGAACUUUGGGAGGCUAAGGUGGGAGGAUUUCUUGAGGCCAGGAGUUUGAGACAGCCUGGGCAAUAUAGUGAGAUCCCGUCUCU